rnacentral:rRNA from 1 species
UACGGAGGGUGCAAACGUUGCUCGGAAUCAUUGGGCGUAAAGCGCACGUAGGCGGCGCGUUAAGUCGGGUGUGAAAGCCCUGGGCUCAACCCAGGAAGUGCAUUCGAAACUGGCGCGCUUGAAUAUGGAAGAGGGUCGCGGAAUUCCCGGUGUAGAGGUGAAAUUCGUAGAUAUCGGGAGGAACACCAGUGGCGAAGGCGGCGACCUGGGCCAAUAUUGACGCUGAGGUGCGAAAGCGUGGGGAGCGAACAGG